UACGUAGGGGGCAAGCGUUGUCCGGAAUUAUUGGGCGGAAAGGGCGCGUAGGCGGCCUUUCAAGUGACGGGUGAAAUCCCUCGGCUUAACCGAGGAACUGCCUGUCAGACUGGAAGGCUUGAGACCGGGAGAGGUGAGUGGAAUUCCCAGUGUAGCGGUGAAAUGCGUAGAUAUUGGGAGGAACACCAGUGGCGAAGGCGGCUCACUGGACCGGUACUGACGCUGAGGCGCGAAAGCGUGGGGAGCAAACAGG
rnacentral:rRNA from 1 species